CAGCAGCCGCGGGAAAACGGAGGGUGCAAGCGUUAAUCGGAAUUACUGGGCGUAAAGCGUGCGUAGGUGGUGGUUUAAGUCCGUUGUGAAAGCCCUGGGCUCAACCUGGGAAUUGCAGUGGAUACUGGGUCACUAGAGUGUGGUAGAGGAUAGUGGAAUUUCCGGUGUAGCAGUGAAAUGCGUAGAGAUCGGAAGGAACAUCUGUGGCGAAGGCGACUAUCUGGGCCAACACUGACACUGAGGCACGAAAGCGUGGGGAGCAAACAGGAUUAGAUACCCGCGUAGUCCCUGUCUCUUAUAC
rnacentral:rRNA from 1 species